GACGAACGCUGGCGGCGUGCUUAACACAUGCAAGUCGAACGAAAAGAGGGAAAGAGCUUGCUCUUUCCGGAAUUGAGUGGCAAACGGGUGAGUAACACGUAAACAACCUGCCUUCAGGAUGGGGACAACAGACGGAAACGACUGCUAAUACCGAAUAAGUUCCAAGGGCCGCAUGGCCCAUGGAAGAAAAGGUGGCCUCUACCUGUAAGCUAUCGCCUGAAGAGGGGUUUGCGUCUGAUUAGCUGGUUGGAGGGGUAACGGCCCACCAAGGCGACGAUCAGUAGCCGGUCUGGGAGGAUGAACGGCCACACUGGAAUUGAGACACGGUCCAGACUCCUACGGGAGGCAGCAGUGGGGAAUCUUCCGCAAUGGGCGAAAGCCUGACGGAGCAACGCCGCGUGAGUGAUGACGGCCUUCGGGUUGUAAAACUCUGUGAUCCGGGACGAAAAGGCAGAGUGCGAAGAACAAACUGCAUUGACGGUACCGGAAAAGCAGGCCACGGCUAACUACGUG
rnacentral:rRNA from 1 species